ACGGAGGGUGCAAGCGUUGUUCGGAUUUAUUGGGCGUAAAGCGCGUGUAGGCGGUUUCUUAAGUCUGAUGUGAAAGCCCUGGGCUCAACCCAGGAAGUGCAUUGGAUACUGGGAGACUUGAAUACGGGAGAGGGUAGUGGAAUUCCUAGUGUAGGAGUGAAAUCCGUAGAUAUUAGGAAGAACGCCGGUGGCGAAGGCGGCCCACUGGUCCGGUACUGACGCUGAGGUGCGAAAGCGUGGGGAGCAAACAGGA
rnacentral:rRNA from 1 species